rnacentral:rRNA from 1 species
GGAAACGACUGCUAAUACCGCAUACGCCCUACGGGGGAAAGGAGGGGACCUUCGGGCCUUCCGCGAUUGGAUGAACCUAGGUGGGAUUAGCUAGUUGGUGAGGUAAUGGCUCACCAAGGCGACGAUCCCUAGCUGUUCUGAGAGGAUGAUCAGCCACACUGGGACUGAGACACGGCCCAGACUCCUACGGGAGGCAGCAGUGGGGAAUAUUGCACAAUGGGGGAAACCCUGAUGCAGCCAUGCCGCGUGUGUGAAGAAGGCCUUCGGGUUGUAAAGCACUUUCAGUAGGGAGGAAAGGUUGCAGUUUAAUAAACUGUAGCUGUGACGUUACCUACAGAAGAAGGACCGGCUAACUCCGUGCCAGCAGCCGCGGUAAUACGGAGGGUCCGAGCGUUAAUCGGAAUUACUGGGCGUAAAGCGUGCGCAGGC